rnacentral:rRNA from 1 species
GAGUUUGAUCGUGGCUCAGGACGAACGCUGGCGGCAGGCCUAACACAUGCAAGUCGAACGAGAAACCAGAGCUUGCUCUGGUGGACAGUGGCAGACGGGUGAGUAACGCGUGGGAAUAUACCCAGUAGUACGGGAAUAGCCUUUUGGAAACGGAGAGUAAUACCGUAUACGCCCUUCGGGUAAGGAUUUAUUCGCUAUUGGAGUAGCCCGCCGUUAGAUUAGAUAGUUGGUGGGGUAAGUAGGCCUACCAAGUCGACGAUCUAUAGCUGGUUUGUAGAGGAGUGAUCAGCCA